GACAGAGGAGCCAAGCGUUGUCCGGACUGACUGGGCGUAAAGCGCCCGCAGGCGGUCGUGCGCGUGGUGUGUGAAAGCGCUCGGCUUAACUGAGCGAGGCCAUCCCAUACGGCGCGACUCGAGCCGUCCAGAGGCCGGUGGAAUUGCCGGUGUAGUGGUGAAAUGCGUAGAUAUCGGGAGGAACACCAAUGGCGAAGGCAGCUCGCUGGGACGGUACUGACGCUGAGACGCGAAAGCGUGGGGAGCAAACAGG
rnacentral:rRNA from 1 species